AGUGAACGCUGGCGGUAGGCCUAACACAUGCAAGUCGAACGGCAGCACAGUAAGAGCUUGCUCUUACGGGUGGCGAGUGGCGGACGGGUGAGGAAUACAUCGGAAUCUACUUUUUCGUGGGGGAUAACGUAGGGAAACUUACGCUAAUACCGCAUACGACCUACGGGUGAAAGCAGGGGAUCUUCGGACCUUGCGCGAUUGAAUGAGCCGAUGUCGGAUUAGCUAGUUGGCGGGGUAAAGGCCCACCAAGGCGACGAUCCGUGGCUGGUCUGAGAGGAUGAUCAGCCACACUGGAACUGAGACACGGUCCAGACUCCUACGGGAGGCAGCAGUGGGGAAUAUUGGACAAUGGGCGCAAGCCUGAUCCAGCCAUACCGCGUGGGUGAAGAAGGCCUUCGGGUUGUAAAGCCCUUUUGUUGGGAAAGAAAAGCAGCAGGUUAAUACCCCGCUGUCCUGACGGUACCCAAAGAAUAGCACCGGCUAACUUCGUG
rnacentral:rRNA from 1 species